rnacentral:rRNA from 1 species
UACGUAGGGGGCGAGCGUUGUCCGGAUUUAUUGGGCGUAAAGAGCGUGUAGGCGGCCCGGUAAGUCCGCUGUGAAAGUCGGGGGCUCAACCCUCGAAUGCCGGUGGAUACUGUCGGGCUAGAGUGCGGAAGAGGCGAGUGGAAUUCCUGGUGUAGCGGUGAAAUGCGCAGAUAUCAGGAGGAACACCAAUUGCGAAGGCAGCUCGCUGGGACGUUACUGACGCUGAGACGCGAAAGCGUGGGGAGCAAACAGG